UGGGAGUAGCCGAGGAACAGCUGUUGGUAAUAUUUGCCAUCAGCACUGCGUCAACUGAGUCUUACAAGGUCAAAGCUCUUUGCUACACCUGCGCACUCGAAGUCACAUGUGUACGAACGUAUAAAGUGACAUUAUGACGUGGCUCUUGAAGCAGUGGAAAAGCAGCAGUG